rnacentral:tRNA from 1 species
GAGGGUGUAGCUCAGUGGUAGAGCAUGUGCUUAGCAUGCACGAGGUCCCAGGUUCAGUCCCCAGUACCUCCA